UUGACUUUGUGGAGGAGCAUGAAUAGGGGGAUCAAGAAGUGUUUCAAAAAUUUUGGACCUUGUUUCCCAAAGAGCAUUAGUGACAGGAGAAUGAUACAUUCCAGGCCACAAACUAAGGGGUUUUCUAUUGGAAUCAGUAUUUUCGUCAAAUGGUGAAGCCAAAGUGGAGAAAACUGGAAUGGUAUUUGGAGAAGAAGAGUUAGAUUCCAUGGGAAGACAGUGAAUUCUCCAAGAUAGAGUUUGAUUUUCAAUAGAAGCUGAAA
rnacentral:misc_RNA from 1 species